GCAAAUACGAACGAAAAUAUAAUAUCCAAAGAUCUGAAUGGAAUAUAUCUGAAUCAACAUAAUUGACGAAACCAAUAAAAGAAUAAAGAAAUAACGAACUGAAGUAACUAACUCAAUGACUUGAACUGAACAGAAACCAACAAAACUGAUCCAAUAAAAUAAUAGGCUGAAACAAAUGGCUGGAGUUAUUUCAUACCGAAUGAGCUCANNNNNN
rnacentral:lncRNA from 1 species